UGGCGGACGGGUGAGUAACGCGUGGGUAACCUGCCUUACACAGGGGGAUAACACCUGGAAACAGGUGCUAAUACCGCAUAAGCGCACAGGGCCGCAUGGCCCGGUGUGAAAAACUCCGGUGGUGUAAGAUGGACCCGCGUCUGAUUAGCUUGUUGGCGGGGUAUGGGCCCACCAAGGCGACGAUCAGUAGCCGGCCUGAGAGGGUGGACGGCCACAUUGGGACUGAGACACGGCCCAAACUCCUACGGGAGGCAGCAG
rnacentral:rRNA from 1 species